AGUGAACGCUGGCGGUAGGCCUAACACAUGCAAGUCGAACGGCAGCACAGUAAGAGCUUGCUCUUACGGGUGGCGAGUGGCGGACGGGUGAGGAAUACAUCGGAAUCUACUUUUUCGUGGGGGAUAACGUAGGGAAACUUACGCUAAUACCGCAUACGACCUACGGGUGAAAGCAGGGGAUCUUCGGACCUUGCGCGAUUGAAUGAGCCGAUGUCGGAUUAGCUAGUUGGCGGGGUAAAGGCCCACCAAGGCGACGAUCCGUAGCUGGUCUGAGAGGAUGAUCAGCCACACUGGAACUGAGACACGGUCCAGACUCCUACGGGAGGCAGCAGUGGGGAAUAUUGGGCAAUGGGCGCAAGCCUGAUCCAGCCAUACCGCGUGGGUGAAGAAGGCCUUCGGGUUGUAAAGCCCUUUGUUGGGAAAGAAAAGCAGCAGGUUAAUACCCCGCUGUUCUGACGGUACCCAAAGAAUAAGCACCGGCUAACUUCGUG
rnacentral:rRNA from 1 species